GACGAACGCUGGCGGCGUGCUUAACACAUGCAAGUCGAGCGGUAAGGCCCUUUCGGGGGUACACGAGCGGCGAACGGGUGAGUAACACGUGGGUGACCUGCCCUCAGCUCUGGGAUAAGCCUGGGAAACUGGGUCUAAUACUGGAUAUGACUCCACGGUGCAUGUCGUGGGGUGGAAAGCCUUGUGCGGCUGAGGAUGGGCCCGCGGCCUAUCAGCUUGUUGGUGGGGUGAGGCCUACCAAGGCGACGACGGGUAGCCGGCCUGAGAGGGCGACCGGCCACACUGGGACUGAGACACGGCCCAGACUCCUACGGGAGGCAGCAGUGGGGAAUCUUGCGCAAUGGGCGAAAGCCUGACGCAGCGACGCCGCGUGAGGGAUGACGGCCUGGUU
rnacentral:rRNA from 1 species